rnacentral:tRNA from 1 species
GCCGGUGUAGCUCAGUUGGUAGAGCAGCUGAUUUGUAAUCAGAAGGUCGGGGGUUCGAGUCCCUCCACCGGCACCA